GUGCCAGGCUGGAACGCCACCAGAGGACACAAGAGCGGGCUGCGAAAGCACUUGCUGAGAAACAUGAGCGUGAUCUUCAAGUAAAAAGAGAUCAAGCUGAGCGAAAUAGGAUCGGUGAGACCCUAGAUGUUGAGAUAAAACGUUGGGGUGCAGGGAAGGAGGAAAACUUGC